GAUACAUUCAAGUCUCUCCACUAGAUUCAAGUUUCUAAUUUUCUUGCCAAAGCCCCAAAGCCCCUAAGCCCCUAAGUGGAGAGACUUAGAAUCUUAAUUAUAACAAAUAAUACAUAUCAGUUUUUUUUACCAUGUCACAUAAUUGUCUUUUUGUUACUAACCGGAAACAGGUAACGUCGAUCUUAAAACUUAUUAGCUAAUCUCUUCUCUCGUCGAUCUCUUUGAAACUCGACUGGAAACCCCUCAAACUCGAUCCCAAAUUUGUUUUGUCUUAUCAUUCACUCUCGAUCCCUCUCAGUCGUUAUCCCUCUGAGUCAGAUUCAUCGACGAUAUACAACACCCUCUCAUAGUGAGGAGUCACAUGCAUCAAUCCAAGUCGAAUUGGUGAGGUGGAAAUUGACAAAGAAGGGUAAAAUAUAUGUUUGGGUGUUCGUUAUUUGCAGUGAUUUAGUGUUUAAAUCAUGUUGGUUUUGAUCCGUUUAGGUUGUUUUGCUCUGUUGCAGGAAGAUUUCAAUUUCAGUAGUUCUACUUUCAAUUUGGGUUUUUGAUUGANUUUUUUUUUUUUUUUUUUUGAGUUGAUAUUUUCUGAUGAUAUCGUGUAUUUCUUAUAAACUGCACACCGCCGCCGAGCCAGAGCCUAGGGAAAACGGGAUCGUUUCAUCGGUGGAGAAAGACGUGACCAGUAUGGUGCAAUGGCAGCCGAGGACGGUUGGCCGGUUGCAAUGAAGCUGCAAAAUUACUCCUCUAGAGUGGUGAUUUUAUUGAAGCGAAAACCAGCAUAUUGCAGAUGAACUUCGCAGUUUUGGAUCAGCCAUAGUGAAGGGAAAAAAUUCCAAAUUCUCAAGAUGUCGUUGACUAUAUAAUAAUACUAUAAAUAUACACUUUUGUUUUUUUGUUGCUUGUAUAUAUUCUCAAAAUGUCGUUAUUUUCUUCGGUAUUUUUUUUUUGUAAAUAACAUUUUACCAUUAUUUAUGUAUAAAAAGAAUAAUUGGCACU